GCUGCUCGUAGCUCCAGUAAUUAGACUGUCAUUGCUUGUUAGAGGAUAGGAAAACGCUCCUAUGACAGAUUCCACGAGUCCUCUGUUUUUUAAGACCUCACAGAAAUCACCAGAGCAUUAAUUGAGAUCUCUUAUUUCUCUGGAAUCAGAAGGGAAGAAGUUCCCUCUGCUCCUUCGCACUCCAAUCAGAGCCCUCUCCCGCCUCCCAUGGAACGCGGUUAAUUCACUCUCAGAGCCUCGGGAGAAGUUGAAUGCCUUUCGUACCUACCCGGCAGGAAGAGAGAGCUUCCAGGCCGUGCGAACUUACUUUUAAAAUCUCCUUCUCGUUUUGCUAAAUUUAACUAAAAGGAGAUACACAGCCUUUUCUCCACUAACUGAGAACUGAGAACUCCAUUAACUGAGCGGAGACUCGGACACUUCUUCCCAUCCGAGCUAAUGUUAAUUCGGGAGAUGCUCAGAAGGGGCUAUUCCCCGCCGAACAAAAGCACAGGAAGAUCACGCCGAGCUGCUCCUGCCCCCAUCCAGCAGAUGAGACAGAGGAGGCGAUUUCUUUUCCUCCCUUCCGUACAUUCCCCUUUCCCCCGCAAUCAUACAAGGUUAACUCAACAGAGGAGUCUCAAUCCAAAUGGCUACUUGGAUUGCAUUUAAAAAAAAAAAAAAAAGCACUGAAGGANNNNNNNNNNNNNNNNNNNNGGGAAAGAAAAGAGAAAAAGCAGCAGGCUGAUUACGAGGUGUCAAAACUGCCAGGAGCAAGAAGGUGAUAGCAAUCAGGGGUGAGAAGAGCGCGCCAUUCGUGCGGGGCAGCUAAUUAUCCGUCUCAUUUGAGAAGAGCAGCAUUCGAGGCAGCAGCGUUCGCCUGCUGAACGGUGACAGAUUGGCGCGGAGGAGAGGGGAGGUGUUAAAACAAUGGAGCCGGGCUUGCGAGCGCUGUUGCAUGCUAAUCAGCCCGGCCUCCUUCCUUCCUUCCCUCCCUCCUUCCCUCCGCCUGCCUGCCGCGAUCCCUCCUUCCCGCCGGCCGCAUGGCAAGCCCAACACUCCCGGGCCCCUCCGCGACGUGUAGCCCGCAGCUGGCCGAGCGAUAGGGAACACGCAGCCAGAAGGACACUGCCCGGAUCGCUAGCUAAGCUCCAGGUGAAGCCACCGUUCAGCUCCCGAACCUUCCGUGGGCUGCACGACAGCACUCGGCGAAAUUAAAUCACGUCUGCGUGUAACCUCCCGUUUCAUUUAACAAGUGUUACUUCAAACGGCACGUGGCUGUUUUAUGGCAGGAUUCGUGCGGGUAGGCGAACAGUGGCAGGGGAGGUUUGGGCCCGAGGUAAGCGGCACGGCAACGCAGGUUAAGUGCUAUUUAAAUGAGGUCUGAGCGGUAGUAAGAGCGCUCACAUUUUGUUAUUCCAAGUCUGUCGUACAGCGUUCUCGAUGAAUUGUCCGUGAGCAUACAGAUGGUGAGAUUUUCAUGCUUCCGUGCCAUUCUGACAUCCCAGGCUGUAAAAAUAAAUUCUCAGAUCGCUGUGAUACCUACGGAGUA
rnacentral:lncRNA from 1 species